UUUUUUGAACGCAAGUUGGCGCCCGAUGCCAUUAGGUUGAGGGCACGUCUGCCUGGGUGUCACAUAUCGAAGCCUCCUUGCCAAUUUCCCUGAUUAUUGUGCAGGGUGGAUGUUGGCCUCCCGUGAGCUCUUUCGUCUCAUGGUUGGUUGAAAAUUGAGACCUUGGUAGGGUGUGCCAUGAUAGAUGGUGGUUGUGUGACCCACGAGACCAAUCAUGCGCUGCUCUAUUGAAUUUGGCCUCCUUUACCCAUAUGCGUUUCCAAACGCUCGUGAUGAGACCUCAGGUCAGGCGGGGCUACCCGCUGAAUUUAAGCAUAUCAAUAAGCGGAGGAAAAGAAACUAACAAGGAUUCCCUUAGUAACGGCGAGCGAACCGGGAUAAGCCCACCAUGAGAAUCGGUCGCCCUCGGCGUUCGAAUUGUAGUUGAAAAAAACCGUCAAAAGCU
rnacentral:rRNA from 1 species